rnacentral:rRNA from 1 species
UGGGGAAUCUUCGGCAAUGGGGGCAACCCUGACCGAGCAACGCCGCGUGAGUGAAGAAGGUUUUCGGAUCGUAAAGCUCUGUUGUAAGAGAAGAACGUGUGUGAGAGUGGAAAGUUCACACAGUGACGGUAACUUACCAGAAAGGGACGGCUAACUACGUGCCAGCAGCCGCGGUAAUACGUAGGUCCCGAGCGUUGUCCGGAUUUAUUGGGCGUAAAGCGAGCGCAGGCGGUUUAAUAAGUCUGAAGUUAAAGGCAGUGGCUUAACCAUUGUUCGCUUUGGAAACUGUUAAACUUUAGUGCAGAAGGGGAGAGUGGAAUUCCAUGUGUAGCGGUGAAAUGCGUAGAUAUAUGGAGGAACACCGGUGGCGAAAGCGGCUCUCUGGUCUGUAACUGACGCUGAGGCUCGAAAGCGUGGGGAGCAAACAGG